CAUCCUGAUCGGGCUCCCGGUGGCCCUGGUCCUGCUUCUCUCCCUCCUCCUCUUAUUCCUCCUCCGACACCGACGUCAGAGCAAAGGCAGGAUGUCAGGGACCACAGGCCCAGAGCCCAAGGACAGAGGCCUGCAGAUCAGCUCCAGCCCAGCUGUGGACGCCCAGGAGGAGCACCUCUGUGAGAGGAAGAGACAGCUGCCCUGGGGGAGGGGGUACAGGGUUU